rnacentral:lncRNA from 1 species
ACCUCUCACCGUCCCUCCAGUUUAACUGCUAUAUUUCCUAGGCAUUUGCACUAUUAAUUGUGCCAUUACAGUCAUUCAUUCUUCUCACUUCAGAGAAGAAAUGGCCCGACAAUAAAGCUGAAAGUCAAACUCGUUGCAUGUAACUUACAGUGUGACCAAAAGGCGUUGUACUGAGAAAUACGGGUACCUGAGCAGCAGGAAGUCACUGGGCACUCAGGUUUUGUUGUUCUGACUGCUCCAUUUGCGGCACCAAAACGCCAUCAUACCUCACGCUGAGAUGCGGGUGGUUCUUAUAAACUGUUUCUUUAACUGGUAAGGUUCAGAUAUUCAGAUUGAUUCCCUGCCAGCAACCAAGACACGCUUCUCUUCAGGUCUCCAAAAUGACCAAAUUCACCAAGGCCACAGCUCGCUGCCAUUUCCUCAGGUUCAUGGUGACUCCCACUGUCACCACAGCUGCGCAGACCUGACUACAGACCUGCAAGCGGAAGGAAAACCCGGCAUGCCUCUGGAAAUCACCCCCGUGAUUCACCGUGUGACAUUCCUCUGAGUAAGCACCAAGCUCAUGCCCAGCUUGAAGAUCGUUGUGGUUUAUGAAAUACAAAUACAUAAUGUACAUCCAAGACCACGAGUCAUGUCUGCAAUGUUCUCUGCAGCAUCUAUGUUGGCUUGCAAGCACUCAGCAAUGCUGUUCCAUCUCAGCCUCAUCAAAGUCUACCAGCUCUUUGAUACUUUGCUGCUGAAAAUCUUGAUCGAAGGACUACUUAGUACUAAAUAUAACAGAAGUGGAGCUCAGUUACUUCCUCUCCCAAGAAAGUGUUUUUAUAGUUGGCCAUGUUCACAUUUGUAG